GACGGAGGGGGCAAGCGUUGUCCGGAAUCACUGGGCGUAAAGGGCGCGUAGGUGGCUUCGUGCGUCGGUGCUGAAAGCGCCGGGCUUAACCCGGCGAGGCGUGCCGAUACGACGAGGCUCGAGGCAGGGAGAGGGUAGCGGAAUUCCGGGUGUAGUGGUGAAAUGCGUAGAGAUCCGGAGGAACGCCAGAGACGAAGGUGGCUACCUGGACCUGACCUGACACUGAGGCGCGAAGGCGUGGGGAGCGAACGGG
rnacentral:rRNA from 1 species